rnacentral:rRNA from 1 species
GCUGGCGGCGUGCCUAACACAUGCAAGUCGAGCGGGGAGGAGGAAGCUUGCUUCCGAAUCCUAGCGGCGGACGGGUGAGUAACGCGUGAGCAACCUGCCUCGUUACAGGGGGAUAACGCAUCGAAAGAUGUGCUAAUACCGCGUAAGACCACAGUACCACAUGGUACAGUGAGGAAAGGAGCAAUCCGCUAAUAGAUGGGCUUGCGUCUGAUUAGCUAGUUGGUGGGGUAACGGCCUACCAAGGCGACGAUCAGUAGCCGGACUGAGAGGUUGACCGGCCACAUUGGGACUGAGAUACGGCCCAGACUCCUACGGGAGGCAGCAGUGGGGAAUAUUGGGCAAUGGACGCAAGUCUGACCCAGCAACGCCGCGUGAAGGAAGAAGGCUUUCGGGUUGUAAACUUCUUUUAAGUGGGAAGAGUAGAAGACGGUACCACUUGAAUAAGCCACGGCUAACUACGUG